UACGUAGGGUCCGAGCGUUGUCCGGAGUUACUGGGCGUAAAGCGCGCGCAGGCGGCCUCGCGCGCCCGACGUGAAAGCCCCCGGCUUAACCGGGGAGGGUCGUUGGGGACGGCGGGGCUUGAGGGCGGGAGAGGGUGGUGGAAUUCCCGGUGUAGUGGUGAAAUGCGUAGAGAUCGGGAGGAACACCCGUGGCGAAGGCGGCCACCUGGGCCGACCCUGACGCUGAGGCGCGAAAGCGUGGGGAGCGAACAGG
rnacentral:rRNA from 1 species